UACGAGGGGGGCGAGCGUUGUUCGGAAUUAUUGGGCGUAAAGGGUGCGUAGGCGGCCUGACAAGUCUGAUGUGAAAGCCCCGGGCUCAACCUGGGAAUUGCAUUUGAGACUGCGUAGCUAGGGUGCGGAAGAGGGAAGCGGAAUUUCCGGUGGAGCGGUGAAAUGCGUAGAGAUCGGAAAGAACACCAACGGCGAAAGCACUCUGCUGGGCCGACACUGACACUGAGAGACGAAAGCUAGGGGAGCGAAUGGG
rnacentral:rRNA from 1 species